UACCAGCACCCCGAGUGGUCGGGACGUUUAUUGGGCCUAAAGCAUCCGUAGCCGGUUCUACAAGUCUUCCGUUAAAUCCAGCUGCUUAACAGAUGGGCUGCGGAAGAUACUAUGGAGCUAGGAGGCGGGAGAGACAAGCGGUACUCGAUGGGUAGGGGUAAAAUCCGUUGAUCCAUUGAAGACCACCAGUGGCGAAGGCGGCUUGCCAGAACGCGCUCGACGGUGAGGGAUGAAAGCUGGGGGAGCAAACCGG
rnacentral:rRNA from 1 species